CCGUCCUCGUCCAAAGCCUACCCAGAGCUGAACGCAACCGACGGGCGGCGAGCGACCGGAGGCGUGCGGAGUGGCAGCGAGAACUGCGGGAGGGGCGGAGCAUCUUACCGGCGAACCUCAGGAUGGAUCCUGCCUAGGCACUCCACAUCAGAUCGAUGCCGUUUCUUGGAAUCAGAUCGAUGCUGAUCGCUCGCGGGAAGCCGGGAACUGCAGCUUCGACGGCAAAGUGUGGGCGGUGCAGGAUGCGGGGUUCGUCGUGUACGACGACGAGGAGAAGGCCAGCUUCUACUGCAGUUUUGCUAUUCUGCAAGUGUUACACUGAAGGCUGCUCUCUUGCUGAAGGUUUUGCAUACCUUAGCUGUAAACUGAAAAGAAGCCAUGUCUAACGAAUGAGUGGCUGUAUGGAUGCUUUAAUUUUUUUUGUAUUAUUGUGCGAAGUAAGAAACAUCACAUGGUGGUUGCAAUUGCAUUAUGUUUGUCAAACGCAUGAAGGAAAAGUUGUAAAGACGUUGGCAACAACAUCCUGUGGGUCUUUCUUUUUAUUGACAGGAAGAGUUUAGCAUUCUCUCCAACUAACUCAUUCAGUGGAGAGCUCCCAUCUUCUUGGGAUCGUGUAACAACACCAAAAUUCGGAGCAUAAAAUCACUGUCAAUCAACUAAUUUGAUAUCAGAUGAGGAAUAACUAUUCGUCAAGGUUUACAUGUUGAUGCCUUAAAUACUCUGAACCGAUUAUUGCUGUGAUCACCUGAACCGUUUAUUGUUGCAAGCACCGUCUGAUGUGAUUCCUAUCUCAAACUUGUAGUUUUGUACUUGCAUGGCCUAUGAUGGGAGUACCAAAUGUAUUGUCUCUGAUCUUUAUUUAUGUUUCAGGCAGGCACUUCGAGUUAAGAUGAUGUCAUUGCUAAUCAGAAUCAGUGUCAAGGCUACAAAUGAGACUUGAGAGCUUAUCAUGACAUUCCUAAACUGAUGUUCAAUUCUUGCUACUUUAGAUCGUUUGCAUGCAAAACAUCCGAGAUGUACUCCUUCAGGCAAUACAAUGACUUCAUCGAGUAAAAGUUUGUGAUAAUAAUCUUGAUGCAUAUUAUAUGUAUGCUCGUAGCUUUAGAUUUGUUGCCGUGUGUGUGACUUGUUAAUUUUAAUGUAUGUGAAAGCUCAAAUAUGUUUCAGGGUUCUAUCACUAUAGUGUGGCCUACUGGUUUGUUUCGUAGGCAGUUUUAAAAAUUGAAUCUUGCUACUGUAUGUUGGUUUGGAUUGUUGAUUUCCUUUCCCGUUGUGCUCCAACCCCUGAAACAAUCCCUGCCAACCAAAUGGUUGUUUUUAGGAGUAGGGAUUAGGGAUUGUAUGUGAUGGGGUUUUGUGGGGAUUGGGUGAAGGUAGGGGUUUCACCCAAUCCCCUAGAGUAUUAU